rnacentral:lncRNA from 1 species
GGGAGGAAGGAAGGAAGGAAGAACUUUGAACUUUCUUUUAGAAACUCAGUUUCUAAGGCUUGAGGGUUCACAGGGAAUUUUUAGGAGUACAAUUAUAGGAGGACAAUUAUUAGGAGUAAAAUAUAGAAUACCCAUUUACAAGUUCCACCAAAAGAAAAGCUUGCACAAUUUUUGAUAACAAUAAGUGGCCAAGUGCAGUAGCUCAUGCCUGCAAACCCAGCGCUUUGAGAGGCUAAGGCAGGAAGAUGGCCUGAGGCCAGGAGUUUGAAAACAGCCUAGGCAACAUAGCGAGAUCCCUAUUUUAAGAGAAAAGAAAGGAAAAGAAAAGAAAGGAAAAGAAAAGAAAAGAAAAGAAAAGAAAAGAAAAGAACAGGACAGGAGAGGAGGGGAGGGGAGGGAAGGGAAGGGAAGGGGAGAGAAAGGGAAGGGAAGAUAAGAAAAGAAAAGGAAAGAAAACAAAAGGAAAGAUAAGAAAAGAAAAGAAAAAGCUAGUCAUGGUGGCACAAGCCUAUAGUCCUAGCUACUUAGAAGGCUAAAGCUGGAGGAUUGCUUGAGCACAGGAGUUCCAGGUCACAGUAAGCCAGUAUACUCUAGCCUAGAUGACAGUGUGAGAUCCUGUCUAAAAAAAAAAAAAAAAAAAAAAGUAAGUGUGAUAAUUAUUAUGUGACUGUGAUAAAGAAGAAAAAAAUGAUUAUUGAGUGGUGGUGUUAAUUUUUAGUAAAUAAUGGUUAGCUCCAUUCUUCAUCACAAUGACUAAAAAGAAAAAUGAAGCAAUGGUUGAAAACAUCAAGCUUUUCCAAGCCAUUUUCCCUUCUUCAAUAGCUAAAAGGCCACAGAGAAUUGCUAAAGAAAGUUUUGGAACCAUGCUGACUUGAUUUUACUCAGACUUCUUCAUUUCAAGCAAAGGAAGCAGAUUCUGGCUCUUUCACCAGAGAAGAGGCUUAGUAAGCAGAUAUCAGGAGCUCACAGGUUUGUUGUGAAAAGAACAAGAUUCCAGGACAAAGCUCAAGACCUAGCUUCCAGGAGCAUGCUUUGAAUGGCCGAACUGGCCUCCCAGGAAAACUUUUCAUCAUAAAUGUCACUGAGCAGUAGAUUCUACAGCUUGCCUUACAGAAGCCAAAUAUUUGACUUUGCUACAAACUCAACUACUGCCUGAGUCUUGCUGCUUAUGAUUGUCUCACAACCACCACUGGCUGGUAAAGCCAAAUGGCUCUGGCACCAUUCUUGCUGCAAGGUGGACUUUGAGUGCUUGUCCAUCCUCAUGUGGCUCCCUUCCGAACCAAAAUCUCACUCCAGCUCAUAUGACUGGUGGGGCCUUUGAAAUAUUAGCAAUAUUUUCUACGUGGAUAAUAGGAUGGAUACUUACAGCUGGUAAAUAAUAAGACAGGUUUCAAAAUACCUGAGAGAGGUGAAGAAGUGACCAGGAAGUUAGUAGAAUAUAGUGGUUUUAAAAAAUAUAGAAAGGUGAGCUGGUUAUAUGUCAUUUACUUCAAAGGAAAGAUUUAAAAAUGGUGGACAAAUGCCAAAAGCAUCCUAUCUUUGUAAUAUGUUGGAUAGGAGCCAAGAAGUAAUCAACAUUUUGAGAUGCAGUACAAGAGAGGAAAUGGCCUUAAAGAAAGAUCGGAGUUCAGUGGAGCCCAAAAAGUGAAGGGAGGUGCAGAAAGAAACAAGUUAUUUAAAUAAUUUGUGGGCCAUAGGAGAGUUUGUUUUUGAUGGGGCAGAGAUUGUUAAAAAAUAAUUGAAUGAUAUUAAAUAGAAAUAUAUAUGCAAAAAUGUCCUCAUCAUUUUUUUCUAUGGUUGUCCACUGAAAUAUUCAAAUAUUUUUAAAUGUAUGAAGCUGACAUUUGAGACAGUGUCAUGCAUGGGAUGAUGCCUAAAGUUGCUCUCCAAAGCAAAGAGACAAAUAAUGGAAUUUUCUUUUCAUUGUUGUUGAAGAGUAUGUCUCAAAAUUGUAGCAUUCAGUAGUUUGUUUCUUUAUAAAAAUUACAACAUUUUCAUUUUAAUGAAUUUACUAAAACUUGAUUAAAAAAAGAACAAAAUUCAACACAAUAUAAAUUUUUACAAUAGAUGUCUUUUAUCGCUAAAAGACUAUUUUAACUUCAGCAAAAAAGAAAUUGUAGAAGAUUUUAGGGAAAAGCCAAUAUGACCUUAGAGGAAUUUGCACUCUUUGGGCUCCACACAUGUGCUGCAGUUAUCAGAGUUCCCUGACUCCAAGUGUUUAUUCAAAUCUGUCAGCUAAAUCAUAGAUCAAAAUGCAAAAUGUAACACUCAGGAACAUUACAUGGAUUUGUGACACUCCCUGGAGGACUUUGGGUCCAUAAAGCAAUGAAUGGAUUAUAAGAAGACAUAAAUAUGGUAUUUUCAUCUAUGACAGGUGCAAUCUUACUCCAAUGUUAUUUAUAUUAUAUAAAAGAAAACUGAACCUAUUUUCCUCAGUCCCUUAGGGAUGAAUAAGUGAAUAGCUCACCAUUAAUUUCCAGUUUCUAUGAAUUCACCUUUGAAAAUGUCAUGUUUUCGAGUUUUUUCAACUGGCCAAUGUUUAUUUAUUUUUACAUGUGUUUACUUAUUUUAUAUUUAUUUAACAAUGAAACCAAAAGGAAAAUGGGAGAUGAAAUUGUGAUAACACAAUAAUAUUUUUUUCUUUUUUUGCCAUGAUCCUAAAUCAUGCAAAAUUUACUCAACUUUGAAUUUUAAUGACCAAUUGGGCACCCAGACUAGCUUCCCAUAAAUCCUGCUCUCAGUCUUUUAACAUCUUUUGCAUCCUCAUCCUUACUUCCUGUUAGUUAGGUGGGUUAUAUGGCGUUCUGGAAAAAGCAUGGGUCUUGAAUUUAGAGGAGGAGUACGCUAGUAUUUACUCCACCUAGCUUGUAUCUUUAUAAACGUGCAGAACUAAAAUUUAACCAUGAGAUUCCUUAAGCUUCUCCAGCUUCAGAAUGUUAUAUUUUGGUCCAGUCAAAAUCUAUGAUUUUUUAAAAUGGUUUUAGCCUCACAAUUUUGAAAAAGAAUCAUGAAGUCAUCAGUAAAAAAGCAGGAGUUUAGCCACAAUAUAAAAUGCCAUUUUCACACUGUAUUAAACUUGGGCCAGUGAAGAAACUGCUGAGUUAGUUUUCUGUCUUGAAGGCUUAGCUGUUGUUUUCUUGUCCAAAAUAGAAAGAAGAUGGAUACUUUAAUUACUUAGGUUAACUACCGCUUAGCUAGAACUUUUGCUUUAUAGGUAACCAAGAGAUUUAUAAGAAUACAUCUUUCAAUAUUAUGGUAAUGAAUGGCAAAAUACUAAUUAGGUAGGAUUAGAAAACAAUUUAAUAUUCUUAUUGCAAAAAUCGGAACCAAUCAGAAUCAUGAUGUUUUACUAUGUGAAAUUGUUUGGCUUCCAAUAAUUAUCCAGUGACAGGUGGCAGCCAUAUUGUGAAUCUCUUAAGCAUUGGUAAAAAAAAAAAAUUAAAAGGUACUUAAAUAAUAAUUAAAAUACUAAAAUAUAACUAUUUAUUUAAUUUUAUCUGCCCUGCUCCCACCCCAGCUCAUUUAACUUAAAAACUCUGUUCUGAAGAAAACUACAAGGAUUUGUCCACAAGGGAUAAAAUAAUCCUCAAUUAAAUUCAAUUCAGCAAAUAGUUAUUGAAUCUCUUUUCAUGUUAUUGAACUUAUGUUCUUUAAUUUCUCCUAUCUUAUUGAAAAAGAAAAUGAUAAUACAUACAAAUAGAAAAUAUUUUAAUUUUAGGUUGUUGCAAAAGUGUUUGCGGUUUUUGCAAUUUCUUUUCAUCAAACCUAAUAAAUUUGGUAAAACAAAUUUUACUUUAUUUUUUAAAAUUGUGUCAAUUUUCAAAAAUAAAUUUCCUGUGAUGUUUUCUGAUUUGUGAUUUUAACCAAUGAAAUGGUCAGUGUGAAAUAUUUUUGUUGUUGUCAUCACUUCAAAGUAAUGAAAACACUUUAGAUUGUUCAACUGUAUAGAAGGUUUGCCUUCACACAAUUUUAUAAAUUGUUGAUUGUGUGUCUCUCUAAGUUUUCUCUAAUACAUGCAAAAUAAUGUUGUAAGUAAAAUGAAUGGCUGAC